CAAAUAAUGAAAUUACCAAAAAUCAACAAGUCGAUGAACUCAUGGUAAAAAUUGAUCUUUCUUGUUUUUUUUUGAGACAGAAUCUUGCUCUGUUGCCCAGGCUGGAGUGCAGCAGCAUGAUCUCGGCUCACUGCAACCUUUGCCUCCCGGGUUCAAGCGAUUCUCUUGCCUCAGUCUCCCAAGGACCUGGAACUACAGGCUGAGUCUCACACUGUCACCAGACUGGAGAACAGUGGUGUGAUCUGGGCUCACUGCAACCUCCACCUCCUGGGUUCAAGCGAUUCUCCUGCCUCAGCCUCCCAAACAACUGGGACUACAGGUGCCCA
rnacentral:lncRNA from 13 species